CCUUGGGGAAACCCCAGGCUAAUACCGCAUACGUCCUACGGGAGAAAGGGGGCUCCGGCUCCCGCUAUCGGAUGAGCCUAUGUCGGAUUAGCUAGUUGGUGAGGUAAAGGCUCACCAAGGCGACGAUCCGUAGCUGUCUGAGAGGAUGAUCAGCCACAUCGGGACUGAGACACGGCCCGAACUCCUACGGGAGGCAGCAGUGGGGAAUAUUGGACAAUGGGGGGAACCCUGAUCCAGCCAUGCCGCGUGUGUGAAGAAGGCCCUCGGGUUGUAAAGCACUUUCAGUGAGGAAGAACGCCUGGUGGUUAAUACCCAUCAGGAAAGACAUCACUCACAGAAGAAGCACCGGCUAACUCCGUGCCAGCAGCCGCGGUAAUACGGAGGGUGCGAGCGUUAAUCGGAAUUACUGGGCGUAAAGCGCACGUAGGCGGCUUGUUAAGCAAGAUGUGAAAGCCCAGGGCUCAACCUUGGAAUUGCAUUUUGAACUGGCAAGCUAGAGUUUUGAAGAGGGUGGUAGAAUUUCCAGUGUAGCGGUGAAAUGCGUAGAUAUGUGGAGGAACACCAGUGGCGAAGGCGACUCUCUGGUCUGUAACUGACGCUGAGGCGCGAAAGCGUGGGGAGCAAACAG
rnacentral:rRNA from 1 species